rnacentral:rRNA from 1 species
GACGAACGCUGGCGGCGUGCCUAAUACAUGCAAGUUGAGCGCUGAAGGUUGGUACUUGUACCCACUGGAUGAGCAGCGAACGGGUGAGUAACGCGUGGGGAAUCUGCCUUUGAGCGGGGGACAACAUUUGGAAACGAAUGCUAAUACCGCAUAAAAACUUUAAACACAAGUUUUAAGUUUGAAAGAUGCAAUUGCAUCACUCAAAGAUGAUCCCGCGUUGUAUUAGCUAGUUGGUGAGGUAAAGGCUCACCAAGGCGAUGAUACAUAGCCGACCUGAGAGGGUGAUCGGCCACAUUGGGACUGGGAAACGGCCCAAACUCCUACGGGAGGCAGCAGUAGGGAAUCUUCGGCAAGGGACGAAAGUCUGAACGAGCAACGCCGCGGGAGGGAAGAAGGGUCUCGGAUCGUAAAACUCUGUUGGUAGAGAAGAACGUUGGUGAGAGUGGAAAGCUCAUCAAGUGACGGUAACUACACAGAAAGGGACGGCUAACUACGUG